GAUCAUGGCUCAGGAUGAACGCUAGCUACAGGCUUAACACAUGCAAGUCGAGGGGCAGCAUGGUCUUAGCUUGCUAAGGCCGAUGGCGACCGGCGCACGGGUGAGUAACACGUAUCCAACCUGCCGUCUACUCUUGGACAGCCUUCUGAAGGGAAGGUUAAUACAAGAUGGCAUCAUGAGUCCACAUGUUCACAUGAUUAAAGGUAUUCCGGUAGACGAUGGGGA
rnacentral:rRNA from 1 species